CCUGCUCUGUGAGGGUCCAUGGGGGACCUGACCACUGAAGAACAGGGUGAACAAAUGCUGCCCAGAAGAUGAGAGUCUCUGAUGAUGGCACGUGCCCUCCUGUGGUAGCGAUGGGUGGCUAGAGACUGAAUGAAGGAAAGAGCUGUGCCGCAGUCUCUCAGUGUACGUUGCUAUCAGGAUGACACAGUGUGUUUACUCUGCUCCAAGAGUAAUGAUGAGGUUCCGGAACACUGAGUAGUGAUGGAUCUGGCAGGUGAGUGAAGGGGGAAAGGUCAUGUGAUGAAUAAAACAUUGUGCAGCGUUAAAAAUAGACAUGCAGAUCAGUAUCAUUUCUUUACCAUAGCUGAGCUUCCUGUCAUUUCAUCAUAUUCUUUGUCAUAUGUGGGUUUUGUAAAAAGGACUUUUCCAAAUUUUAUGGGCAAAAAAAAUGUUUCAAGUUUUGAAAAUGUUUCAAGUUUUGAAAACAAGCACAGGUAUGGUAUUGUUGUCUUUCACAUUGAGCUCAAAAUGAUGAAAUUAAUCAGAGCCAGUUCGAUUUUCUUCUUCAUACGGCUACAUUAAAAAUCAGGCUGACCAAGUUAUGGCCUUGGUACAAAAGGUCAUUUUCCCUCCAUUGGAUCACAUGUUCAGACAACUCGCAGGUGGAUUUGAUCUACUGAGGCUUUUGCACAAACUUAUGGCGUCACACACGGUCAGAAAUUUAAAAAUUCAUGUAAACAUUCAAAGAUGCUGCUUUUCAGUCAAAUUGUUAUGCUGAUAAUAUGAUUUGUAAUGAAAAACCUUUUUUGUUUUUUGUACAGGAUCCACAAAAAUAGAUACUGCCGCCCUCCACCGUCUGCUUCAAGUAAACCCAUGUGACGUUACGGCUACUUGACUGGAACAGCUUUUCCGCACAAAUUCCUGCCUGACAUGGCAAACAGACUGCAUAAGGGCAUCGCGCCAGAUGGGCCCGGUAACCUAAACUCCUCAAGCACUUUCUGCAACACAAUGUAAACCAACCUAUCAGACCUUUCUUCGGUGAAUGAUUUUUGUAUAGAUUAGUCCUCCUCUCUCUCUCUCUCCAACCAUAUCUCUUGCCUCUCUCUCUAUCGCCUGCUAUCUCUCUGUCUGUCUAAGUCCCUCUCUUUCUUUUCCCUUUCUUGGAGCCCACAGAUGAAAAGGUCAAGGCACUUGUAUCGUACUAUUUUCAACACGGCAGUAAGAAACUGUCAGAAAGGAUAAGCCGCCGCCUGUUACUUUGGAAGAGAAAAGAGAGGCUGAGGAGGGGGGAACUGUCCUCCAGGGCAGACGGCCAGGAGAUUUUGCAUAACUGUCUAAUUUCUCAAACAGAGAGAGAGAGAGAGUGAGGAAGAAUUGACUUUGUCUUGGAUUUCGCGUAACAUGCCCUCAAAGUGCACAUGCUCACUGAAUCACAUGACAAAUUGCAGGGUGCAGCCAAGUGAAAGCGAUCGUCUGCUGAUUGUUAUUUAUUGUUCUUUUAAUCUUCAUUUGAUGUCAGACCACAGUGAAAAGAUUUGCUCCAUUUUUUUGGAUUGGAGCCUUUGAGGAAAUAUUUUGCCUGUCCAAUAACAGACCUCAGUCAUUUUGCCUUAUAAUAAUAACAUAAUAAUAUAACAUAAUAAUGUAAUAAUAACCUUUUCAGACAAAGCGCUCAUGUCCUGAAAACCAAAUUUUCCUAAAUUCUUCAGAUAGAAUGGUUUUAUGUUCUACCUUUACAUAUAUGGGUCAUUCUACAGAAACAUACACUUUUGUAUCUGUCCAUAGGGGUCACUGGUGUUACUGGUCAUCAUUUGUGUUACACAUAAGAAAGUUAACACCGGAGACAUUUUUAAUGAAAUAUGCAUUUUACAAAAUGACUGCUACAGAGCAUCAAACCACAUGUUGUCAAU